rnacentral:rRNA from 1 species
UUGCACGCUGGCGGCAGGCCUCACACCUGCCAGUCGAGCGGAUGAAGGGAGCUUGCUCCUGGAUUCAGCGGCGGACGGGUGAGUAAUGCCUAGGAAUCUGCCUGGUAGUGGGGGAUAACGUCCGGAAACGGGCGCUAAUACCGCAUACGUCCUGAGGGAGAAAGUGGGGGAUCUUCGGACCUCACGCUAUCAGAUGAGCCUAGGUCGGAUUAGCUAGUUGGUGGGGUAAAGGCCUACCAAGGCGACGAUCCGUAACUGGUCUGAGAGGAUGAUCAGUCACACUGGAAAUGGGAACACGUCCCAAAUCCUAAGGGGAGGCAGAGGUGGGGAUAUUGGGCCAUGGGCGGAAGCCUGGUCCCGGCCAGCCGCGGGUGGGAAAAAAGGUCUCGGAUUGUAAAGCACUUUAAGUUGGGAGGAAGGGCAGUAAGUUAAUACCUUGCUGUUUUGACGUUACCAACAGAAUAAGCACCGGCUAACUUCGUG